rnacentral:rRNA from 1 species
GAUGAACGCUGGCGGCGUGCCUAAUACAUGCAAGUCGAGCGAACAGAUGAGGAGCUUGCUCCUCUGACGUUAGCGGCGGACGGGUGAGUAACACGUGGAUAACCUACCUAUAAGACUGGGAUAACUUCGGGAAACCGGAGCUAAUACCGGAUAAUAUAUUGAACCGCAUGGUUCAAUAGUGAAAGACGGUUUUGCUGUCACUUAUAGAUGGCUCCGCGCCGCAUUAGCUAGGUGGUAAGGUAACGGCUUACCAAGGCAACGAUGCGUAGACGACCUGAGAGGGUGAUAGGCCACCCGAGAACGGAAACAGGCUCAAUACGCCUACGGGAGGCAGCAGUAGGGAAUCUGCCGCAGUGGGGGGAAGCCUGACGGAGCAGCGCCGCGUGAGUGAUGAAGGUCUUCGGAUCGGAAAACUCUGUUAUUGGGGAAGAACAAAUGUGUAAGUAACUAUGCACGUCUUGACGGUACCGAAUCAGAAAGCCACGGCUAACUACGUG